CCCAAGAAAAACCUUAUUUGCAAUAUAAACUGGGGUCGAAGACUGGAGUCUAUGUCUAAAGGAAUAUCAUGGAGCUAGAAAACACGUUUAAUCAUUAGUAGCGCUGUAACGACUAGUCGAAUAAUUUGAAUAAUUAUUCCUUUAAAGCACGGCAAAUGUGUUAAACGAUGUAAACACGAGUGCUUCAUCCACAUUUGCGACUAAAAACAGACGUGCAAUGCAAACGUGUGAAUAAAAAGUCUGACAACAGCAAGCCCACACAGCCUGCACAUUUAAACAGAAACACUGAUAACACAACGAUGAUGGCAGUGACGAUGACGCUGGCACAGCUGAACGUGGAGCCGGAGUCUGUUUACACACCGUGAAGAGCAAAGAGGCGGACCCUUACCGAGACGCUGAGCUCAGGCUGAGUGAAAGAAAACGUGUUUUUAGCGUCCAAAACAGCAGCGCUGUUCCUGUAAUCAUCAUUUAAAUCUUUACUGACAAAACCCGAGCGUAAGUCCUCCAUCAAAGCGCCUGAUCAACACACUCCGACGCGAAGAAAAGCGAACUUUGCAGCUGCUCCAUCCACCGCCGUUUGUUUUAUAUAGAGAAAAAUCUGCAGUAAGUCUCCCGAAGUUGUAUUAAAAUAUGCAGGUGAACUGUUAACUGAUACGAGACUGGUUAAAUUAUACAGCUCGCUGAAGGCUGAGGCAGCCGUCCUAUUUUACAUGGAAGUGAUACCUGCAGCAAACAGGGGUGAGUCUAAAGGGGGGCAUGGGGUGUACUAGGCCAUAUUAACUUCAAGGGUUUUGUAACAUGUUUUGAAUUGAAUGUGAAAUAAUAAAAUGACAUAAAGUAUUUUAUUAAUUAAAUUGCAUUAAUAUUUUAAAGUAUAAAAAUAAAAGCUUUUUUCACAAGCCAGUAAAAAUGUAAAUGGGCCAUUAAAACUCUGAGCCACUGACCUGAAGGCUGUUAAGUUGGACACUGAAUUAUUAUUAAUAUUAAUUAAUGUCUGCACCAUUAUAACAUCUUUUUUUUUUUAGCAGCAUAAAAACCUCCUAUCAAUAUCAGAAAGCCUUCCAAGAAGACAGAGUUAGUUUAGGUUGCUUAUGAAUUUAUUUAAUUUGACUUUGACUUUUGACUGUACUUUAGAUUAUUUAUAUAUUUUUGCAUUUCAGAAAAUGUUUUCUUUAAAAAAAAUAAUUUCAGUAUGGCAUGUACAUACAAUCGAAGGGUUUAGUUUUUUUUUUUUUUUGACAGAUGUUGUAUGCAGUUAAACUUUAAGCACUGCAAUUUCUAAAAUGGAAACCAAUGAGCAGUUCAUUUUGAAAGACUUGUGUUUUUGCCCUUUUGAAUAUUUAUUAUUGGCGCAUUGGCAUGACCAUGGGCAGCUAGGUAUACACAGUAGCUGUAACAGGCCUGCGACUGGUUGAGAUUUGCUCUUACUUCUUGUGCAAACUGAGCAUUCUGGAUUGUGUUCCUUUAUAACCUUGCCAAUUGAGGAUGAAAGAAUGUGGCUUACCCCUGGAUGGCAGGUAAAGUUGAUGGUGUGGACCUAGUGGAUAACUUGUGAGUGGACUGAAGACAGGACAUACAGUUGGUUUGUGAAGCUGAUUCUGGAAUCAUGUUCAUUCUGCUGAGCCUGUUGAAUGACAUCUUCAUUUUCCCAGGUCAGCUCUACAGAAAUACAGGAACCAGAACGGUAAGUCAUUGAAUUUGCCAAAGAAUAUUACAGUCUAGGUUGCCUGGAAUUGAGAUGUUGGAGGUGACUGAAGAUAUGACAAAUUUGGAUGAUUCUUCAAAAGCUAGUUGAACUGCUAGCAGAUCACUAUGAGUAGAAUGUGCAGAAUGUGCACGAGUGUAGUUUACUUUCUUCUUACAGUACAGCACUGUAAGAAGAUUGCCCCCACACCAGAGUCUGAAGCAUUGACCUUUACAACAAACUAUUAAUGGGGGUGAAGGCUUGGGGUGAAGGUUUUCUCCUGAAAACCUUCUUGAAACAGAAGUGAAGGUGAUAUAGAUCCUUGAAAACAAGGAUAGUUGGUAAAACAAAAACAAAAAACAACCACAUUCAGGAAAUUUCUGAAGACCUCAUUAAAUAAGGCUUAGAAUACUGCAGCCACAUUUGUUAGACCAAAAGAUAUUACCAAGUACUCAAAGUGUCCUCGUGUUUAUCAAAAACGUAUUUUCACUUCUUGUUCCUCUAGUGAUCUGAUUUAGUCAAAUACAUGGUCUAAGAGUUUUAUCUUUCUACUCAACAAAAAGCCAGCUAUUGGGCAUGGUUCUACUGAGGAUCAGAGAAAGAUUAGGUGACUCACAUUCAGCAGGCCCAGAGACUGAGUUAGCAGGGCCUAUUGUAAGCGGUUUGACUGGAAAAACAAACUUCAACUUAGUUAUUUCUUCCGACCAACUUAUAUGUGGGUUGUGUCCUUCUAGCCAGGGAUUUUCUAGGAUCAGAUUUGUGAGGUGCAGAAAAAACAAAGAACUCUGCGUACUCAGGGUGGUUUCCAUAUGAAAUGAAUGGGCUCAGUCUGAUGUGUAAUGGUACCCAGCUGUUGUCUGUUUAGGGCAAAGAUUGAAAGAUGAGUGGUUAAUAGUUUGGUGGAGAUUCCCAGUUGAUGAGCUAGCUUUGUUCUACACCAGAGUCAGCAAGGACUUCAGAGAGAGUGCUCUGCUUAAAGUAGAUAGUUGCAGGCAGUGAUCAGCGAAGAAAUAACUUAGCCCUGGGAACACCAACAAGUAUCCCAACUUCUACUGCAGGCUGUUCUGUUUUGGCUGCACUGGAAAGGUGUCCACAGUAAAGCAACACCUUAGCCUCAAACCAUCUGUCUCUCUGCAAGGGAUAGUUUUGCUCAGUUGAGCUACAUCAACACAUCUGGAUUUUCUCCCAGGAAGACAGAGAGGAAGAAGCAGGGUGACUGAAAAAGCAGUGGUCGUUGUUCAGGAUUUACUUUUUGUUUUCUUUUCACAGGCUCUUACCCUAAGAUGACUGACAGCUUUAAAUGCUAGGGAAAAUAAUGCAACUAUAAAAGAUGGUUCAUCACAAGUAGAUGAACCAUCUAUGCACUGAGCCGGAGAUCUCUGGAUUGGAUUUGACUGCAUCUCCCUCUUUAUCACCACAUGAAUAUUCUUACAGUCUAUGUACCUCUGUGAACGCAGAGGCUUCAACAUCCUGACCUCAGCCAGUCCUGCUGUUUUGCAUCACAAACACACCCAUUUUAUUCUUUAUUAUUUAUUAGCAUUUAAUGCUUUGGCAAACAGCAGAAUUUUUUGGUAUUAUCUGCAAAUAUUUCUUCGGCUUUUGGUAGGCAGAUAAGCCUUAAAACUGUCUCAUUGCUUUUCUUAGAAGAAACACUUGUGACAGCUUCCUUUUUUACAGGUUUACAUUAAAAGAACUUUCUGUUAAAUUUUAAUGGAUUACACUUUAUCAUAACUUUAUGUUUAUGGUUUAAAAAAAAACACAUGUAUAUAUCUGUAAAUUCCCCUCACCCCUGCAGGCGGUCUAUCUGUCAAGCUCGGGUCCUCUACUAGAGGCCUGGGAGCUUGAGGGUCCUGCGCAGUAUCUUAGCUGUUCCUAGGACUGCGCUCCUCUGACAGAGAUCUCAGAUGUUGUUCCUGGGAUCUGCUGGAGUCACUCGCCUAGCUUGGGAGAUUUUUGAAAGGCAGCUUUAAUUGUUUGUGACUUUAGCUUUAUAAAAGUAGCCUUACUGUAUUCCCUACUCAACUUAUUUUAUAUUUGACUUUCAGAUACAGAUUUAUGGGGUACUUUGCAGGAUAUAUCAAGCUAACACUUUCUGACUGGAGGAUAUAUUUCUAACAUUUCCUCCACCCAAUCAUCUGGUUUAUCGCCUCUCAAAAAUGUAAAACUAAGAGAUGAAAGAUAUCGUCACAACAAAUCACUGUUCAUGUUUUUACGACUUUACAUUACAUCAAAAUGCAGUCUGCUGAAAAAGACUAGAGGUUAAAAAAAAUUGACUUUGUUGUGGCAGACAAUGUUCAGAACUUAAAAAAAAAGAAAAUCAAAAAAGAACUGGAGUAAAAAGAGAGGAACACAGUUUGAUGCAACACGACAGACAAAUUGAGACUAUAAAGUCACAUGACGUAAUGAAGGAAUUAGAAACAGGAGGGAAACUAAACACAGUUGAACACAACAAAGGUAAACAGUCAGGAAAUAAAACUAAACACAAUGCAUGGGAGACCAAUAAAAAAAGGAACUAAACAAAAACAAUGAAGAUCAGUGAACUUAACACAGGAUAUAGAGAUCAAAUAAACUCUAAUGCAAGUAGAAGCUGGAACUAAGACCUAAAGACUAAAAAUACUAAAGAAAACUCUUCAAUAUAAAGUAGUACGUUCACUCUGUUAAAAUACAGGAUAAGCUCAAUCAUGGUGAUGUCAUCCUGGGGAAGAAUAGGUUGUUUUUUGUUUUUGCAUGACUUUUUCAAUCUUUGACAGUAGAGUCAUUUAUCUUUUAUAUUGUGCUUUUAAGUUUUUAUAGCUACGAGUGUUAUUGCAUGCUUUUAUUGUGAAUUUUGUUUUUAGUUUAUGUUCCCCCAGACCCC